GAUGAACGCUAGCGAUAGGCCUAACACAUGCAAGUCGAGGGGCAACACGGGUAGCAAUACCUGGUGGCGACCGGCGCAAGGGUGCGUAACGCGUGAGCAACAUACCCUAUACAGGGGGAUAAUCCAGGGAAACUUGGUCUAAUAUCCCAUAGGAUUUACAGAUGUCAUCAUCUAUAAAUUAAAGCUUCGGUGGUAUAGGAUUGGCUCGCGUGACAUUAGCUAGAUGGUGGGGUAACGGCCUACCAUGGCCAUGAUGUCUAGGGGUUCUGAGAGGAAGACCCCCCACACUGGGACUGAGACACGGCCCAGACUCCUACGGGAGGCAGCAGUGAGGAAUAUUGGACAAUGGAUGGAAAUCUGAUCCAGCCAUGCCGCGUGCAGGAAGACGGCCCUAUGGGUUGUAAACUGCUUUUAUAUGGGAGCAAUAAGGUCUACGCGUAGACCGAUGAGAGUACCAUAUGAAUAAGCAUCGGCUAACUCCGUG
rnacentral:rRNA from 1 species